GCUCCCAUAGCGUAAUGGUCACUGGGCUCGCCUUGCACGCGGGAGACCCGGGUUCUAUUCCCGGCGGGGUUA
rfam:Asian citrus Psyllid, Diaphorina citri - Florida Strain, whole genome shotgun sequence.